rnacentral:rRNA from 1 species
GUCUAUGGCCAUGCCACCCUGACCAAGCCCAAUCCCGUCUGAUCUUGGAAGCUAAGCAGGGUCGGGCCUGGUUGGUACUUGGAUGGGAGACCACCUAGGAAGACCAGGUGCUUGUAGGUG